rnacentral:lncRNA from 1 species
GGGGCAGAGGAGCCCAGCCCAGGGCACUCUGCGACCUGCCAGGGGCUCUUAGAGAUUCCAGUAGGGGCAGGGCCCUCUGUGUGUGUGUGUGUGUGUGUGUGUGUGUCCCUCCUGUCCCAGGGGACCCAGUCCUGGUCCCCGUGCACUGACCUCGAAUGCUUACAAAGGAGCUGUAGGGGCUGGCACCUGCCUGAGAUAAUCCUAGACAGAAGCCGCACAGGGCGCUAGGGAAUGUGAGUGAGGGGCAGUUGCCGGCUUUGAGACAGAGGUCCCCAGGAGCCCAGGGGCUGGGGUUCUAGCCUGCCAAACCACUCAGUGCAAAGGGGCUCCCUCGCUGGGAAGGGGCCAGCUGCUAUCAGCUGAGGGGUGGGCGUGCCAAGCAGCAUCUCCGAUGCUUUAACUGUGCCACCCCUGCGAAGCAGACACCCGCAUCCCCCUUCCCUCCCCCCCUUGCAAACAGGGUCUGUCAUUCCCAGGGCCCACGGCCGCCUGCUUCAAGGGGGAGAAAUGGCCUGGCCUCUACACACAUGGGCUCUCCCGCGGGCUGGGGGUCGGGGCUUUUGUCUCCAGGCACGCCCGCAGGGCUGCGUGCGACACCGCGGGGGCUCUCUUGGACCCUUUGGCUCCGUAGCCUGUGGCUUUUGGGGACAAAAUUCCAGCUAGGAGCACCGAAGUCACAGGGCCAGAGAAGCGGCGCAGAGGCUUUUCCCUCUCCCCUCUGUCCUUCUCCUCCUCUUCCUCCCCCACUGCCCACCUCUCUUGCCCUCCAACCCUAUGGCCUUCGCUUCUCCCCUUUCCUGUCUCCCCUUGGCUUCGGCUUCACCCUUCACGCUCUCCUCCCUUAGCCGGCAGUCUCCCCCCCACCCCGCGCCCCUCGGCCACCUGCCCCUGCCCUCCCUUCCUCUGCCCUCCUCCCCCCUCCCUCCCCCUUUCUGCUCUGCAGAGUCCCUGUUUCUCCCUCUUCUCUCUCUUCCUUCCCUCCCUCCCUCGAAUUUCCUCUCCGUCCCCUUCCUGCCCCCUCCUCUUCUUCGUUGCCCUCGGGCUCCACCCCGCCUUUCUAGAGCACUGCGCGGCCCCCAGGAUGCUCCAAGAGGCAGAGAGAGGGACUGAUGUGGUGGCGCAGCGGGUUAAGCCGCCACCUGCAACACUGUCAUCCCAUAUGGGAGCACUGGUUCAAGUCCCGGCUGCGCUGCUUCGGAUCCAGCUCCCUACCAGUGUGCCUGGAAAGGAAGAGGAAGAUGGGCCAAGUGCUUAGGUCCCUGCCACCCACGUAGAAGACCUGGAUGGAGUCCCAGGCUCCUGGCUUUUCCCUGGAGGGGAAGGGACCACAAAGCCGGGAGUUCCUCUCAUCCUUUAGGCUGAUUGAUGAGCUGUGCACCUGUGGGUCCCUGUGUCUCUGGUCCUGCCUGGUGGUUCUGGCCACACGUUAAACCAUCAGAAAUGAGUUUUCCCAGGACCUGGAAGACAAAUGUGUGUUUCUUCUCUCAGUGGCACUUUGUCUAGGAGCCACCUGCCCCCCAUUGACCUCAUACAGUGCCCUCCCCAGCCCUUCCAUCUCCGUGGGUGACAGUGCCACCUACAAUGCCUGCCACGCUUUGCACUGUUGCCUCCAUGACUGGACAACUGGAAAGAGUCACGAGGGAUGUGAGUUGACCCUGAAACAAUGGUCCUGUCCUUUGUCAUCCUCUACGAAUGGGAAAGAAGUGACGCCUUCCAAAAUCCCUUCUAAUGCACGCACCCAUGUCCCUAGCUGCCAUUUGCCAAGGCCUCGCUCUGUCCCAGAUUUGGGAGACCUCAUUCCUGCUCUUCUCAGCACCUCUAAAAGACAAGUACCAUUGCCUUCAAUAGAGGAAAACUGAGGCUGAGAGACACUAUGUGACCUCCUGGCUAGGGCCCCACAGAACGUGGGCCUGACCUCCAAACCCCGACUUUCUCCACAUUGUGCCUUCCUGCUGGAGUCCAUGGGGACAUAUGACGUCCACCUGCCAGCACCCUGACUCCCCUCCUCCAAUGAGGCAGAGGCUCUGGGCCUCCCAAGCUUCCUCGCUGCUCUGCCCAUCUUCUCCUGCUCCCUCUCCUUCCCGCUGUUUCAGUGUCUCCAGAUCCAUUUCCAACCCGCCCCUUUAGCUGGGGCAGCCACAGCUGGAAGGGGAGCCAUUGCGAUGGCACAGGGACCCCUCCCAUUCCUGUCUCCCCUUCCCUCCCAGUCCUGACCCAGUCCAUGGUACCCCAACUGGAACAGAAGCAAAGUCUUAGAGCUGAGGACACAGCCAGAACCUGUGUGAGUGUGAGCGGGCACACCUGUAGGAGUGAGUGAGCAAGUGCGCUUGAGCAUGUGAGAAUGUGUGUGCUAGUGAGUGUGCACGCAGGAGUGCGUCCUGUGUGGGGAAGUGUGCAUGUGCAAGCGGGUGAGAGUGAGCACGCUUGUGUGAAAGUGUGUCUGGGGGCAGUGUGCACCUGCAGGUAGCACCGUGUCUAACAGGUGCUACAGCAGAUGCCUCAGCACAUUAGGAAAGAGUUUCCUUCCAGCUUGCUUGACAGGGUACUCCAUUCGCAACGUGAUGUAGCAGCCUAAGGCUGGAGCCAGAGAGCCAGGUAGCAGAGGGGUGUGCCAGCUCCAGCUCCACGGGCUCAGCUUCUCUCCCAGCCACCUUCAGAACUCAGAAGCGCGGGGCGCUGUGGCGUAGUGCUACCUGCAGUGCCGGCAUCCCAUAUGGGCGCCAAUUCGAGUCCUGGCUGCUCCACUUCUGAUCCAGCUCUCUGUUGUGGCCUGGGAAAGCAGUGGAAGAUGGCCCAAGUCCUUGGGCCCCUGCAUCCACAUAGGAGACCCGGAAGAAGCUCCUGGCUCCUAGCUCCUGGCUCCUGGCUCCCGGCUUCAGAUCAGAGUAGCUCCAGCUGUUGUGGCCAACAGGGGGAGUGAACUGGGGAGUGAACCAGUAGAUGGAAGAUUUCUGUCUCUCUCUCUCUCUGCCUCUCCUUCUCUCUCUCUGUAACUCUGACUUUCAAAUAAAUAGUCUUUAAAAAAAAGAGCUCA